AACGAACGCUGGCGGCAUGCCUAACACAUGCAAGUCGAACGGGAUCCUGGUUUCGGCCAGGUGAGAGUGGCGGACGGGUGAGUAACGCGUGGGAACCUGCCCAGUGGUGGGGGAGUAACUGCGGGAAACGUAGCAGCUAAUAACCGCAUGAGCCCGCAAGGGGAAAGGAUUGAUCGCCAUUGGAGGGGCCCGGCGUUCGAUUAGGUAGUUGGUGAGGCAACGGCUCACCAAGCCUACGAUCGAUAGCUGGUCUGAGAGGAUGAUCAGCCACACUGGGACUGAGAUACGGCCCA
rnacentral:rRNA from 1 species